AAUGGCUCAGGACGAACGCUGGCGGCGUGCCUAACACAUGCAAGUUGAACGGAACUUUUUUGAAAGAUUUCUUCGGAAUGAAUUUGAUUAAGUUUAGUGGCGGACGGGUGAGUAACGCGUGAGUAACCUGCCUCUAAGAGGGGAAUAACAUUCUGAAAAGAAUGCUAAUACCGCAUAAUAUAUAUUUAUCGCAUUGUAGAUAUAUCAAAGAUUUAUCGCUUAGAGAUGGACUCGCGUCCGAUUAGUUAG
rnacentral:rRNA from 1 species